rnacentral:rRNA from 1 species
UACGUAGGGGGCAAGCGUUGUCCGGAUUUAUUGGGCGUAAAGAGCGUGUAGGCGGUUUGGUAGGUCCGCUGUGAAAACUCGAGGCUCAACCUCGAGACGCCGGUGGAAACCAUCAGACUAGAGUCCGGAAGAGGAGAGUGGAAUUCCUGGUGUAGCGGUGAAAUGCGCAGAUAUCAGGAGGAACACCCGUAGCGAAGGCGGCACUCUGGGCCGGAACUGACGCUGAGGAGCGAAAGCGUGGGGAGCAAACAGG